rnacentral:tRNA from 1 species
GCGGCUGUCGUAUAACGGUAAUACCCCAGCCCUCCAAGCUGGAGCCGUGGGUUCGACUCCCAUCAGCCGCU